rnacentral:lncRNA from 1 species
GGCACAUAUUGAAUUAAUAUCAAAUUCCAUCGCGAUACAACAUGUAGUCAUUGCUCACAGCUACUUCAAAUAAAUGUUUGGUCAGGUUUCAUUGGUUCUUUUACACAGCAGGAUGUUUUUGCAAGGUCCUAUAAAAUGGAAAUUAUUACAAUGCUUCUUGGUUGGUAUCUGUUUUGUAAGAGUUUUUAUCAAAUUACCUUUACAUACUUUUCUUUUUCAGAUGCCCAUCAGUUGUAUAUGGAUGCUCAGACAUGGUAACGCUUAGAUUUUAAUCAUCAGCUUCGUUAGGUGUCCUUAGUGUUGUCAUCAUUGCAUAUACAUAUAAAACCCGAACAAACUUGGAUGUAUCAAGAC